rfam:Chitinophaga eiseniae strain DSM 22224 genome assembly, contig: Ga0070509_101
UAUGGUGGUUAUGCCAAGGGUGUUCACCUCUUCCCAUUCCGAACAGAGAAGUUAAGCCCCUUAUGGCCGAUGGUACUGCACUAUCAUGCGGGAGAGUAGGUAGCUGCCAUAU